GGUAUCAUUUUGAUCAGAUUUUAUUAUUUUUGUGAAAUUCUUAAUUUCAGUAAAAAUUAGAAAAGUUCUAAGUUUAAAGCAAAUUAUUUUUAGUUCAAUAUUUUAUUGCAAUUUUGGACAGACAUUUUAAUAGCUUUAGUUUGGUUUUCACACAAACAUAUUUCCUUUUAGUAAGCCUUAUUUGUUGUAUAUAGAUUACGUAAGAAGUUAUCGGACAAUGGUCAGAAUGUGUUGACAGAUAUGAUUUUUAAAUGAAGCCGACAUGUAAUAAGAUGUAUUUCGGAUUAUUUCUAUUGUUAAUGUCCGGCUCAAAUAUGGUAUAGAGUAAACAUUGAUAGCAAGAUUACAUAAGUAAUUAAGAUAUUUUUUAGUCAUACACGUCACCUAUGACCCCACCUAUUUUCUGUCAAUUAGACUAAAGUUGUCAUGGUUUUUGAUUAAAUGAUAAUUUUGAUUGGACAACCUGAAACAGUCCCCAAAUUCGAAUCUAAAAAGUUAAUUCCAAAAAGCGUCACUUUUACAUGCGCUCUUUGGUAAUAAAGACAUAAAACCAUUUCAAGUUUUAUUGAAUAUUGUUUCAGGUAAGCAAAGUUAAUUUAAUUUUGUUAAAUAUGAUUUAAAGCAUUCAGUUUAAAGGUUUUCAUUACCUAAAAGUAACUUCUGAUAAAGUUAUUAAUUUGCUCAUGCUUUAUUCUUUUUGAAGAGAAAUAGAAUUUAAUUUUCCUUUUUGUAAAAUCUUCAUGUUUAGCAUUUUCAUAGUUAUUUUAUUUAAUAAGAGUUUUCAUCUUUUAUUAUCUUAUAAAGGAGUUAAUUAUAAAGAUAUUUUCUUUAUGCUAUAAUUGUAAAUAGUUGUAAAUUAUGUUUUUUAUAAGAAAAGUCUUUGUUUCUGAUCGGAAAAUUGGUAUACUUAUUUUAUCUGUUUUUAUAGUUAUUUAUAACAUCCGCCUGUUUUGUCGCACUGACAAGAAAUAAUAAUUCACCUUAAAGUUACUAUUGCAUUGAAGUUAUAAUGUUUCCAAUGGUAAGGUCUUAUUAUUCAAAAGCCUUUUUAGGUAUGAUUUCUUGAUGUGCAAUUUAUUUGACAUGUUAUUGUCAGCAAACACAUGGUUUGUUAUUUUUCUAUAAAUAACACGUUAUUUAGUAAACUUAUUUUUAGCAAGUAUACAUGUAAGGCAUAUAUUCCAUAGCUAGUUCCCCACAACAAAGUAUUAUAUAAUUUUCAUUGCGUAACAUGAUUUCAUGAUAGAAAGUUUCUAUUCUGCAAUUGUUCCCCCCUUUUUAUUGUGUAAAGAGUUAUCCCCCUUAACAGAUUAAACAAGAGUUAUCCCCCCUUAACAGAGAAAUGGUUAGAUAAGUAACCUCAUUGUUUGAAUUGGAGUUUCAUAAGAAAGAUGUUUAUAUUAUUCCUUUAUUUAAUUCUCAGUAUUUAGAAUAAAGUUUAUCCAAAUACCUUAAAAUGCUCUACCAUGUUUAUAUUUGAAUGUUUAGAAUAUUUAUGCAAAAGACAUGAGAUGUUGCUCAUACAUUAAGUAUUGCGAUAUGCAUUAUGUUCAUGUUUCAGAAUAUUUAUGAAAUAUUUAGUUAUGAUAGGUCUAUUGCAUUAUCUAUUAGCAUUAUACUUGCAUUAUUAUAUUGAUUUAUACUUAUGAAUAUUGUUUGUCAUUUUAUAUUAUAAUUGCUAUUAUAAUUAGACUUUUACAUGCGCUCUUUGGUAAUAAAGACAUAAAACUAUU